UAAAGAGGGUGCGAGCGGUAAUCGGAUUUAUUAGGCGUAAAGCGUGCGUAGGCGGCUUUUUAAGUCGGAUGUGAAAUCCCCGAGCUUAAGUUGGGAAUUGCAUUCGAUACUGGGAAGCUAGAGUAUGGGAGAGGGUGGUAGAAUUACCGGUGUAGCGGUGAAAUGCGUAGAGAUCUGGAGGAAUACCGAUGGCGAAGGCAGCCAUCUGGCCUAAUACUGACGCUGAGGUACGAAAGCAUGGGGAGCAAACAGG
rnacentral:misc_RNA from 1 species